rnacentral:rRNA from 1 species
GACGAACGCUGGCGGCGUGCUUAACACAUGCAAGUCGAACGGAAAGGCCCUGCUUUUGUGGGGUGCUCGAGUGGCGAACGGGUGAGUAACACGUGAGUAACCUGCCCUUGACUUUGGGAUAACUUCAGGAAACUGGGGCUAAUACCGGAUAGGAGCUCGUGCUGCAUGGUGGGGGUUGGAAAGUUUCGGCGGUUGGGGAUGAACUCGCGGCUUAUCAGCUUGUUGGUGGGGUAGUGGCUUACCAAGGCUUUGACGGGUAGCCGGCCUGAGAGGGUGACCGGCCACAGUGGGACUGAGGUACGGCCCAGACUCCUACGGGAGGCAGCAGUGGGGAAUAGUGCACAAUGGGCGGAAGCCUGAUGCAGCAACGCCGCGUGCGGGAUGACGGCCUUCGGGUUGUAAACCGUUUUCGCCUGUGACGAAGCGUGAGUGACGGUAAUGUGUAAAGAAGCACCGGCUAACUACGUG